rnacentral:rRNA from 1 species
CCUACGGGAGGCAGCAGUGGGGAAUCUUGCGCAAUGGGCGAAAGCCUGACGCAGCCAUGCCGCGUGAAUGAUGAAGGUCUUAGGAUUGUAAAAUUCUUUCACCGGGGACGAUAAUGACGGUACCCGGAGAAGAAGCCCCGGCUAACUUCGUGCCAGCAGCCGCGGUAAUACGAAGGGGGCUAGCGUUGCUCGGAAUUACUGGGCGUAAAGGGAGCGUAGGCGGAUAGUUUAGUCAGAGGUGAAAGCCCAGGGCUCGACCUUGGAAUUGCCUUUGAUACUGGCUAUCUUGAGUACGGAAGAGGUAUGUGGAACUCCGAGUGUAGAGGUGAAAUUCGUAGAUAUUCGGAAGAACACCAGUGGCGAAGGCGACAUACUGGUCCGUUACUGACGCUGAGGCUCGAAAGCGUGGGGAGCAAACAGGAUUAGAUACCCUGGUAGUCCACGCUGUAAACGAUGAGUGCUAGUUGUCGGCAUGCAUGCAUGUCGGUGACGCAGCUAACGCAUUAAGCACUCCGCCUGGGGAGUACGGUCGCAAGAUUAAAACUCAAAGAGUAGUGCGNGNGAGAGCGACGACGACGACGACGGAGGAGG